rnacentral:rRNA from 1 species
AAAAGAAACCAACAGGGAUUGCCUUAGUAGCGGCGAGUGAAGCGGCAAAAGCUCAAAUUUGAAAUCUGGCUCUUUCAGAGUCCGAGUUGUAAUUUGAAGAAGGUAUCUUUGGGUCUGGCUCUUGUCUAUGUUUCUUGGAACAGAACGUCACAGAGGGUGAGAAUCCCGUGCGAUGAGAUGAUCCAGGCCUAUGUAAAGUUCCUUCGAAGAGUCGAGUUGUUUGGGAAUGCAGCUCUAAGUGGGUGGUAAAUUCCAUCUAAAGCUAAAUAUUGGCGAGAGACCGAUAGCGAACAAGUACAGUGAUGGAAAGAUGAAAAGAACUUUGAAAAGAGAGUGAAAAAGUACGUGAAAUUGUUGAAAGGGAAGGGCUUGAGAUCAGACUUGGUAUUUUGUAUGUUACUUCUUCGGGGGUGGCCUCUACAGUUUAUCGGGCCAGCAUCAGUUUGGGCGGUAGGAGAAUUGCGUUGGAAUGUGGCACGGCUUCGGUUGUGUGUUAUAGCCUUCGUCGAUACUGCCAGCCUAGACUGAGGACUGCGGUUUAUACCUAGGAUGUUGGCAUAAUGAUCUUAAGUCGCCCG